rnacentral:rRNA from 1 species
GUCUAUGGCCAUGCCACCCUGAACAAGCCCAAUCCUGUCUGAUCUCAGAACCUAAGCAGGGCCGGGCCUGGUUAGUACUUGGAUGGAAGACCACCUAGGAAGACCAGGUGCUGUAGGUG